CCUCCUUUUUCCCUCUUUCCUCGGAAUUACUGGGCGUAAAGCGUGCGUAGGUGGUUCGUUAAGUCUGAUGUGAAAGCCCUGGGCUCAACCUGGGAAUGGCAUUGGAAACUGGCGACCUAGAGUGCGGUAGAGGGCAGUGGAAUUCCCGGUGUAGCAGUGAAAUGCGUAGAGAUCGGGAGGAACAUCUGUGGCGAAGGCGACUGCCUGGACCAGCACUGACACUGAGGCACGAAAGCGUGGGGAGCAAACAGGA
rnacentral:rRNA from 1 species